rnacentral:rRNA from 1 species
GACGAACGCUGGCGGCGUGCCUAACACAUGCAAGUCGAACGAGAAUCUUUGAACAGAUCUUUUCGGAGUGACGUUUAAAGAGGAAAGUGGCGGACGGGCGAGUAACGCGUGAGUAACCUGCCCAUAAGAGGGGGAUAAUCCAUGGAAACGUGGACUAAUACCGCAUAUUGUAAUAAAAUCGCAUGAUUUAAUUAUGAAAGAUUUAUCGCUUAUGGAUGGACUCGCGUCAGAUUAGAUAGUUGGUGAGGUAACGGCUCACCAAGUCAACGAUCUGUAGCCGAACUGAGAGGUUGAUCGGCCGCAUUGGGACUGAGACACGGCCCAGACUCCUACGGGAGGCAGCAGUGGGGAAUAUUGCGCAAUGGGGGCAACCCUGACGCAGCAACGCCGCGUGCAGGAAGAAGGUCUUCGGAUUGUAAACUGUUGUCGCAAGGGAAGAAGACAGUGACGGUACCUUGUGAGAAAGUCACGGCU